rnacentral:rRNA from 1 species
AAUCUUUGAACGCACCUUGCACCCUCUGGUAUUCCGGAGGGUAUGCCCGGUUGAGUGUCAUGAAUAUCUCAACUCCAAUGCUUUGUUAAGGUUCCUUGACCCUGCUCGGCCUAUCGAGACCAUGGCAGUUGUCUUUGGGAUUCAAGUGUUGGAGCUUGGU